AGUGAACGCUGGCGGUAGGCCUAACACAUGCAAGUCGAGCGGCAGCACAGUAAGAGCUUGCUCUUACGGGUGGCGAGUGGCGGACGGGUGAGGAAUACAUCGGAAUCUACUUUUUCGUGGGGGAUAACGUAGGGAAACUUACGCUAAUACCGCAUACGACCUACGGAUGAAAGCAGGGGAUCUUCGGACCUUGCGCGAUUGAAUGAGCCGAUGUCGGAUUAGCUAGUUGGCGGGGUAAAGGCCCACCAAGGCGACGAUCCGUAGCUGGUCUGAGAGGAUGAUCAGCCACACUGGAACUGAGACACGGUCCAGACUCCUACGGGAGGCAGCAGUGGGGAAUAUUGGACAAUGGGCGCAAGCCUGAUCCAGCCAUACCGCGUGGGUGAAGAAGGCCUUCGGGUUGUAAAGCCCUUUUGUUGGGAAAGAAAAGCAGCAGGUUAAUACCCCGCUGUUCUGACGGUACCCAAAGAAUAAGCACCGGCUAACUUCGUG
rnacentral:rRNA from 1 species